CACUAGCGUAUAUUAAAGUUGUUGCAGUUAAAAAGCUCGUAGUUGGAUUUCUGGUAGGAGUGACCGUUCCGAACUUGAUUGUUCGUGUAUUGUGUUUUCUCCAGCCAUCCUUGUGGAGAACUUUUCUUGCAUUAAUUUGUAGGGAUUGGGACCCGCAUCGUUUACUGUGAAAAAAUUAGAGUGUUUAAAGCAGGCAAUCGCUUGAAUACAUUAGCAUGGAAUAAUAAGAUAGGACUUUGGUACUAUUUUGUUGGUUUGCAUACCAAAUUAAUGAUCAACAGGAACAGUUUGAGGAUAUUCGUAUGAACAUGUCAGAGGUGAAAUUCUUGGAUUUUGAUCAGACGAACUACUGCGAAAGCAUUUAUCAAGGAUGUUUUCAUUAA
rnacentral:rRNA from 1 species